rnacentral:rRNA from 1 species
GACGAACGCUGGCGGCGUGCUUAACACAUGCAAGUCGAACGGUAAGGCCCUUCGGGGUACACGAGUGGCGAACGGGUGAGUAACACGUGGGUGAUCUGCCCUGCACUUCGGGAUAAGCCUGGGAAACUGGGUCUAAUACCGGAUAGGACCACUGCCUGCAUGGGCGGUGGUGGAAAGCUUUUGCGGUGUGGGAUGGGCCCGCGGCCUAUCAGCUUGUUGGUGGGGUGAGGGCCUACCAAGGCGACGACGGGUAGCCGGCCUGAGAGGGUGACCGGCCACACUGGGACUGAGAUACGGCCCAGAAGCCUACGGGAGGCAGCAGUGGGGAAUAUUGCACAAUGUGCGCAAGCCUGAUGCAGCGACGCCGCGUGAGGGAUGACGGCCUUCGGGUUGUAAACCUGUUUCAGCACCGACGAAGCGCAAGUGACGGUAGGUGCAGAAGAAGGACCGGCCAACUACGUGCCAGCCGCCGCCGUAA